AGGUGUGGGAUGCAGUGCACUGUUGUCCGAUCUCCUCCCAAUAUUGCACUCGUCCCGGCCUCC
rnacentral:pre_miRNA from 1 species